CCCUGGUUAGCUCAGUUGCUAGAGCGCUCAGCCUGUAAUGGAGAGGUGCCGGGUUCGAUACGCGGACCAGGCG
rfam:Ixodes scapularis strain Wikel colony gcontig_1108378598616, whole genome shotgun sequence.